GUCCGGCUCCGCCCCCGGGCGUUAUCGUGACGUCAUCCAGCGGUUCGGAAGCACAGGCCCGCGUGGUUCCCUCUAGUCGGUCUUUAGCCCUGCUGUCACUGGCCAUGGCUCGCUCUCGCCGGACAGGCGCGCACCGAGCGCACUCCUUAGCCCGCCAGAUGAAGGCUAAGCGGCGACGGCCGGAUCUGGAUGAAAUUCACCGCGAGCUGCGGCCGCAGGGUCCCGCGAGGCCCAAGCCGGACCCGGAAGCCGAACCCGACCCUGACCUGCCAGGGGGCGGUCUGCAUCGCUGUCUGGCCUGCGCAAGAUACUUCAUCGACUCCGCCAACCUGAAGACCCAUUUCCGAUCCAAAGAUCACAAGAAAAGGCUGAAGCAGUUGACCAUCGAGCCCUACAGUCAGGAAGAGGCAGAGAGGGCAGCGGGCAUGGGCUCCUAUAUGCCGCCCAAGCGACUGGCAAUGCCCACAGAAGUGUCCACUGAGGGCCCUAAGAUGGACACGUCUACCUGACAUGGCCUGAGGAUGCAGGGCAGAGGAGCUGCCCAUGGACAGUGGUGCAAGGACUAGGCUGGGAGAGAGUCUGUCAACCUGUCUGGGCCCUGACCUCUUUUGGGUGCCUUCCCCCCAAUAAAGGAACUGGACAAAGAGGGCUUAUGGCUUAACUUCUAGGCCAAUUCCACAAACUCUGGCCUAUCAGGAUUUCUCUGCUACUUUCUUUGUACAGGGGCAGGGUGUCUCCUCUUUACUUGGGUCAGCUUUGGUACCCGUAUCUCUGCCUUCCUUCUGGGUCCUAACAUCUGAGCUAGAACCCAGGUGCAGUGUUGAAUUGGGGAAGUAGGAUCAGGUCUAGUGCAUCCUGCUCCCAAUGAGGGGAGGGACUGGAUCCCCAGAAAAGAAGAGAGUUUGUGAGAUUGCAGUCACCUACCUCAGGUGAGAGGCUGUCUGCCUCAUUGUGGGGCCUGUGGCGGCUGCCGCUGACCCACCAUCUUCCAUACAGCAUAGCAGGAGCCACUCAGCCCAAGGACAGCAAGCAGUGCAGCCACAACUCCAGGCAGUGGACUCCGGGGCUCUGUCUUCAGCUCGCCAGCCACCUGCAUCUUGGAGGACUCGAUGACUCCCUACAGGACUACCCCUUUGAGGACUGGGAGCUGUCUGGCAAGUAUCUACUCCAGCUCUGUCCCC